UAUAUUUUUUUUAAUGAUUUGGUCUCUAAG
rnacentral:piRNA from 3 species